GAAAUUUUUCCCACAGAUUUCUGUAUUCACUCUUCUGUUCUGUGCCUACACUUGGACCAUUCCCUGUCCAUGCUGCCAGAACUACAUUCAGAGAUGACUUGCUUGGAUGGUCUGGAAGGAGAAGCCAAUAUAUGCUGUAAAAAGCACCCAACUUCCUUCAACCAGCAGCAGACUGCAUCUGGAGUGAGCCACAUAGUGGCACCUACCUACCUCAUCACGGGCAUUUAUGAAGAGGCAUUCAAGAUGCAGUCAAGGCAACCAUGAUGAAGAGCACCGAACAAGUGGGUAACAAGGAUCAUCAUGGCUCAACACAAAAUAAUAUUUUAUAAGGGUACAAGAACAGCUCUUCCACCUUUUGCAGUUUCCCAGUCAUCUUUUAUGGAUGGAAUACCUGAAAACUGAAUGCAAGAGAAUCAGAGAAUUUCAGGAGUUGGAAGGGACAUCAAGAGAUCGAGUACAACUCCCCUUCUAAAGCAGGUUCCCUACAAUAAAUCACACAGGUAGGCACUGAGCUGGGUCUUGAAUAUCUCCAUAGAAGGAAACUCCACAGUGUCUCUAGGCAAGCUGUUCCAGUGCUCCAUCAUCCUUAUCAUAAAGAAGUUCUUCCACAUGUUUGUAUGGAAUUUCUUAUGUUCAAGUUUUAGGCCACUGUUCCUUGUCCUAUCACUACACACCACUGAGCCUGGCCUCAUCCGCUUGCCUCCCACCUCCCUUUAGAUAUUUAUGAAAAAGGAAAAAGGGAAUCCAACUCAGAUGGAGAGUUGAAAUAGCUGUACAGUUAACUUCCUCUGAAACUUCUCCUAUCUGAGAGGGCAGAGCAGAGGGCUUGGGACUGCAAGAUCCAGUGACAUAACUUGUGUAAACCCUGUGCAUUCUGGGCUUUUAGGCUUACUGCAAGAUGCAGGCAGUCUCAUUGAAAACACAUGAAGAAAGCAAGUCUCCACCAAACAACUACCGAAAAGCAAUGGUUGCUCUAGGGCAUUGCCUAAACAGUAUUACUGUCUACUAGCAGUAUUCAAAAUUGGGAAGUAUUUCCCCAGCCUAGCAAAGCACGUAAGCACAUGGUUAAUAACACACAGUGUAAUAGUUCCAGGGACUCCAAUCAAAUUAAGCUAUGUGCUUACAAGCUCUGCUGAACUGGAACCAGAUUGCAUUAGCUUGCUUUAACCUCUCCACAG
ensembl:lncRNA